GUCUAUGGCCAUACCAUCCUGAACUAGCCUGAUCUUGGAAGCUAAGCAGGGCUGGGCCUGGUUAGUACUUGGAUGGGAGAUCUCUUGAUUAUUGGUUUUGCUAGCA
ensembl:rRNA 5S_rRNA 5S ribosomal RNA